rnacentral:rRNA from 1 species
GCGUGGAGUAUGUGGUUUAAUUCGACGCAACGCGCAGACCUUACCUGGUCUUGACAUCCCGGGAAUCUUGUGGAAACACGAGAGUGCCUCGCAAGAGGAGCCUGGAGACAGGUGCUGCAUGGCUGUCGUCAGCUCGUGUCGUGAGAUGUUGGGUUAAGUCCCGCAACGAGCGCAACCCUCGCCUUUAGUUGCCAGCAUUCAGUUGGGCACUCUAGAGGGACUGCCGGUGUCAAACCGGAGGAAGGUGGGAUGACGUCAAGUCCUCAUGGCCUUUAUGUCUAGGGCUACACACGUACUACAAUGGCCGGUACAAAGGGCAGCCACUCAGCGAUGAGGCGCUAAUCCCAUAAAGCCGGCCUCAGUCCGGAUCGCAGUCUGCAACUCGACUGCGUGAAGUUGGAAUCGCUAGUAAUCGUAGAUCAGCAUGCUACGGUGAAUACGUUCCCGGGCCUU